AAAAUAAUAAUUGUGACAUCAUGAUAAUGUUAUAUUGUUGAGUCAAUUAAUUAAGCUACUCAAAUCAACAAAAACUAGAAGGGUAAUUUAAAAAAAUAAAAAACUUUUAAGCUAUAAAGUUGCUUUAUUCUUCUAUAAUGUUCCUUUUUCUUUUUUCUUUUCUUAAAAGAAAUAUACCUUACCCUUUGUUUGCACAACAUUUGCCUUCUAAACAGAUACUUUUGAGCACCACUGUUGCUUUAUUUGGAAUCAUUUGUGCAAUUCUUGGAGCAUACACUUCUUUGUCAGAAAUUGUCAAGCAGUAUUAAAUAAAAUUUAUAUUAUUUAAAUGGAUUUCUUUAUCCUUUAGCAGGAAACUGAAUCUUUUGAUGUGGAAGUUGAAGUUCAUUAAUUUUAUUAUAUAUUAGCCUUCAAGGAAUUGUAUUGAACAUGGAUUUUCCUUCAUGUAAAACCAGAUUGUAACAGUGCUGAGUAUUGUCUAGCUCAAAAAGCUUCUCUUUCUUUCUUUACAUGGGACUCACUACAAUCAACAAUUGUACAUGUAUCAUUUUAUGAUAUAAUUUUUCUCCAACUAUACUUUGAAUUUGGCUCUUUGCCCUCUUAAUUUAUCAAUACAUAUCUAUCUUCGAUAACAUAUAUAUGUGU
rnacentral:misc_RNA from 1 species